rnacentral:rRNA from 1 species
CAACCUACGGGGGGCAGCAGUGGGGAAUAUUGGGCAAUGGAGGCAACUCUUACCCAGCAAUGCCGCGUGAAUGAAGAAGGUCUUCGGAUUGUAAAGUUCUUUAAUUGGGGACGAAAAAAAUGACGGUACCCAAGGAAUAAGCCCCGGCUAACUACGUGCCAGCAGCCGCGGUAAUACGUAGGGGGCAAGCGUUGUUCGGAAUGACUGGGCGUAAAGGGUGUGUAGGCGGGGUUGACAGUUAGAAGUGAAAUACCUAGAGCUUAACUCCGGAGCUGCUUCUAAAACUGCUAUACUUGAGU